UACGUAGGGUGCGAGCGUUAAUCGGAAUUACUGGGCGUAAAGCGUGCGCAGGCGGUUUUGUAAGCCAGAUGUGAAAGCCCCGGGCUUAACCGUGGGAAUGGCAGUGGAAACUAGAGAACUUGAAUCUGGCAGAGGGGGGUGGAAUGGCCACGUGUAGCAGUGAAAUGCGUAGAUAUGUGGCGGAACACCGAUGGCGAAGGCAGCCCCCUGGGCUGAGAUUGACGCUCAGGCACGAAAGCGUGGGGAGCAAACAGG
rnacentral:rRNA from 1 species